rnacentral:rRNA from 1 species
UACAGAGGGUGCGAGCGUUAAUCGGAAUUACUGGGCGUAAAGGGUGCGUAGGUGGUUUUAUAAGUUAGAUGUGAAAACCCUGGGCUUAACCUAGGAAUGGCAUUUGAUACUGUAAGACUAGAGUUUGGAAGAGGAAAGUGGAAUUUCAGGUGUAGCGGUGAAAUGCGUAGAUAUCUGAAGGAACAUCAGUGGCGAAGGCGACUUUCUGGUCCGAUACUGACACUGAGGCACGAAAGCGUGGGGAGCAAAC